AAGUCGUAACAAGGUUUCCGUAGGUGAACCUGCGGAAGGAUCAUUAUCGAGUUUGAAAGGGGUUGUAGCUGGCCUUCCGGGGCAUGUGCACACCCUGCUCAUCCACUCUACACCUGUGCACUUACUGUGGGUUUCGGAUGUUGCGUGGGCCUUUGUUGGCUCGCGGGGCAAUCGAGCUCACGUUUAUUAUACAAACGCUUCAGUAUACGAAUGUACAUCGCGAUUUAAACGCAUAUAAUACAA
rnacentral:misc_RNA from 1 species